rnacentral:rRNA from 1 species
CCCUUAGAUGUCCUGGGCCGCACGCGUGCUACACUGAUGCAUACAGCGAGUACUUUCCAGCUCCGCGAGGCAGCUGGUAAUCAGCAAUAUGCAUCGUGCUGGGGAUAGAUCUUUGGAAUUAUAGAUCUUGAACGAGGAAUUCCUAGUAAGCGCAAGUCAUUAGCUUGCGCUGAUUAAGUCCCCGCCCUUUGUACACACCGCCCGUCGCUCCUACCGAUUUCGAGUGAUUCGGUGAACCUUUUGGACAGCGUCUGUCCUCGUGUCAGAUGCUGAAAGUCAAGUAAACCAUAUCACUUAGAGGAAGGAGAAGUCGUAACA